AGCCCUUUCCUUUCAUCACCUUUCAUUUCUCUCUUUCUUUUUUCUCCGGUUAUCAACAGUGCUGCGGUGAGGAUCCCUGCCGUCCACACGGGAGAGAUGCCGAUGCCGUCCAGCGGAAGAUCACUGGGGCACACCUGGCGUGGAACUGUAAGGAUAGACCGUGCUGGGGUCUCACUGGCCUACCUGCCGCCAGCCUGUCUCCUUCGACCCCUUCAACCCCCAAGGCCAGAGGAGCUUCCUAAAUGGCCUCCUGCCUGGACCCUUGUCUGGCUUCAGUCCUGUGCUCAGAGGAAAGUGUAGCCUGACCUCAGGCCCCAGAGAGCUGAUCUUCCAUCCAGCCUCCCCCUACUUCCCCACCUCGCCCUGGACUUGAGCCUCAGGCCUUCAACCAGCCAGAGCUUCUUCCAUAAUCUGCAAGCUUUGCCUCCUUUCCUUCCCUGACACCUUCACCCCUGGAGGCCUCUUCCCUUCACCCUAGUUCCUCCUCAGGCUCAGAGCACCCCACAGAACCAACCCUCUCUGCCCUUGGAUGUGCCUUCAUGGCAUCCUGCUUGAAAGAAAAAGGUCAGUGACUUUUUUCAGAGACUGGCAGAGGUUGCAAAGUUUGCAAGAUGCAGAAAACGGCCCUGAGAUUUGCUGAUCACCUUGGGAGCAGAUGUGUGUGGGGUGAAAGCAAAGCUGAGAACUUUGUUUGGGGAGGUAGAUGAGACAUUUAAGGCUGGGUAGGCCCCUCUUCGGAUCAAGGCUGUGAGAAUCCACCUCUUGUUGACCCUGAUACCCUCUACCCAGCCCCUCCCUUAGACCUCCUUCCCAUCCUGCCUGGCCUGAGCCCUUCGACAACGAGCGCACAGCUGCUUCAGGCAUCCUCAGGACGCAGUGUGCACGGGGUCGCUGAGGACAGCGGUCACAGCAGCCGCAGGGAGUGGCCAGAUCCAGAGCUCAGGCAGGAACCGAGAAUGGAGGCCCUGGGGGCACAAGGAAGGCGCGAGGGCAGCUCUGCAGCAUCCACUGUGGCCCUUGGCUGGUUUCCUCUGAAGUGGCCCCAGUAAGCUCAGUUGGAAGGGUCUCCUGCUCCGGAAAUCGACUCCCAUCGAAAGGAUGUGAUCAUAGAUGCAAGCUCAGCUGUGAAAGUGAAAGUAUUCGUCGCUCUGAUUCCUCGUGACCUGGUGGACUGUAGCCCACCAGGCUCCUCUGUCCAUGAGAGUCUCCAGGCAAGAAUACUGGAGUGGGGUGCCAUUUCCUUCCCCGGGGAAGCCCAAGCUCAACUGAGGACAAAGUAAAUAAACCUCGUGGAUGGUGCGUCA
ensembl:lncRNA